CUGGAAUUGUGGGAGAGUAUUUUUGUAACAGCUGUUCAGCAGCCUCAAACCUCCCCUGUUGGUGGUGGGGGAGAGUGCUCCCUAUUAAAGCCAAGCAAGAAGGGCAACAGCAAGCGGCAUGGGGAGCUUGUUAUGUGCGAAGGUCAAAGUAGCCUAUGAGCAGACCAAACUCCCCUCCAAUCCUGGCCAAAUGUGGUAAGUCCUGAGGACCCAAUGUUCAACUUGUCCCCGAGAGAAUUAGUGUGAGGUCAUUUUAAACAAGACUGGAGUCCUAAAGAAGACCUGACUUGAUGGUAUAAGGGGAAUCAGGAGUAAGCGCUACAGGAGAUGGGGUAGAGCUAAACGCGGGAACCAGGAGGGCAAGUGCAGAAACUGAUAACGCUUACUUACAUCAAGAGAAGGGCAGGUGAUGUCUGUAACAGGUCUGAACUUUCUCCAGGAGAGACAGAGUCAUCUUUAACCCUCUGCUAGAACGUCUAGUCCAGAGAAAGCAAAGCCAGCUUACAACGGUAUCAGUCAUGAAAGAACUUUCCUUACUUCUUUCUGCAACCCCAGUGGGGUCUCUGAUGGCAGCUGGACAGUGGAGGAGGAACCACAAGAGGAGCAGAGAAGGAGCCAGUGGACAGGGUUGCUUUCUUCAAGGAAUCCUGAUGGAGAGCUGGACUUCAAAUGUCUUCUUCCUUGGGAAUACCAUGAAUAGGGAGCAACAGCAAAACAAAAAGGCAAAGCUUGGCAUCUUCUGAAGGACUCCAUAUUGGGUCCAUAUUGUGGGCCAGCAAGUCAGCUAUCACAACCCUAAGAAGUGACUGCUCAGAAGGGGUUUCCCUACAGAUGGAGGAAGAGCCCGGUGACUAGGGUUAACGCUGUGUUCCAAAUAAACCCAAUUGCUUGGAGACGUUUAUGGAUGAG
rnacentral:lncRNA from 1 species